UACAGAGGGUGCAAGCGUUGUUCGGAGUUAUUGGGCGUAAAGCGCGUGUAGGCGGCUUUGCAAGUCGGGUGUGAAAGCCCUCGGCUCAACCGAGGAAGUGCGCCCGAAACUGCAGAGCUUGAGUACCGGAGAGGAUGGCGGAAUUCCCCAAGUAGAGGUGAAAUUCGUAGAUAUGGGGAGGAACACCGGUGGCGAAGGCGGCCAUCUGGACGGAUACUGACGCUGAGACGCGAAAGCGUGGGUAGCAAACAGG
rnacentral:rRNA from 1 species